UUAAAACUUUCAACAAUGGAUCUCUUGGUUCCGGCAUCGAUGAAGAACGCAGCGAAAUGCGAUAAGUAAUGUGAAUUGCAGAAUUCCGUGAAUCAUCGAAUCUUUGAACGCACAUUGCGCCCCUCGGUAUUCCGGGGGGCAUGCCUGUCCGAGCGUCA
rnacentral:rRNA from 2 species